UAUUGAGUGAACCCAGACAUCAUAGCUCUGUAAGGCAUGUUGAUAUUGAUUGCUUCUUUGUCUCAGGAAGUAUAAGGACUGACAGAUCUCAAAGGGGAAAUUUCUGGUAUCCUGUGUCUUCAGACUCUCGGUCCUUCUGUUCAAGUAACUCUCCUCCCUUCAUGAAAAACAGAGGCUCUUACAAGUAAUCGUGGCAUAGGAAGGUCACCUUUUCAUCCUAGUGUUAACACCCAGCUGGAGUGGCAGUAUUACUGGAAUAAAAU